CCCCUAGUAACUGCGAGUGAAGCGGGAAAAGCUCAAAUUUAAAAUCUGGCAGUCUUUGGCUGUCCGAGUUGUAAUCUAGAGAAGUGUUAUCUGCGCUGGACCGUGUACAAGUCUCCUGGAAUGGAGCGUCAUAGAGGGUGAGAAUCCCGUCUUUGACACGGACUACCAGGGCUUUGUGAUACGCUCUCAAAGAGUCGAGUUGUUUGGGAAUGCAGCUCAAAAUGGGUGGUAAAUUCCAUCUAAAGCUAAAUAUUGGCGAGAGACCGAUAGCGAACAAGUACCGUGAGGGAAAGAUGAAAAGAACUUUGGAAAGAGAGUUAAACAGUACGUGAAAUUGCUGAAAGGGAAACGCUUGAAGUCAGUCGCGUUGUCCAGGGAUCAACCUUGCUUUUGCUUGGUGCAUUUUCUGGCCGACGGGUCAGCAUCAGUUUUGACUAUUGGAAAAAGGUCAAGGGAAUGUGGCAUCUUUGGAUGUGUUAUAGCCCUUGGUUGCAUACAAUAGUUGGGAUUGAGGAACUCAGCACGCCGAAAGGCCGGGUUUUUAACCACGUACGUGCUUAGGAUGCUGGCAUAAUGGCUUUAAUCGACCCGUCUUGAAACACGGACCAAGGAGUCUAACAUGCCUGCGAGUGUUUGGGUGGAAAACCCGAGCGCGCAAUGAAAGUGAAAGUUGAGAUCCCUGUCAUGGGGAGCAUUGACGCCCGGACCAGACCUUUUGUGACGGUUCCGCGGUAGAGCAUGUAUGUUGGGACCCGAAAGAUGGUGAACUAUGCCUGAAUAGGGUGAAGCCAGAGGAAACUCUGGUGGAGGCUCGUAGCGAUUCUGACGUGCA
rnacentral:rRNA from 1 species